UACGAAGGGGGCUAGCGUUGCUCGGAAUCACUGGGCGUAAAGGGCGCGUAGGCGGCUGAUUUAGUCGAGGGUGAAAGCCCGUGGCUCAACCACGGAAUGGCCUUCGAUACUGGUUGGCUUGAGACCGGAAGAGGACAGCGGAACUGCGAGUGUAGAGGUGAAAUUCGUAGAUAUUGGGAAGAACACCAGUGGCGAAGGCGGCUCACUGGCUCGUAACUGACGCUCAUGCACGACAGCGUGGGGAUCAAACAGG
rnacentral:rRNA from 1 species